rnacentral:rRNA from 1 species
AUUGAACGCUGGCGGCAGGCCUAACACAUGCAAGUCGAGCGGAUGAGGGGAGCUUGCUCCUGGAUUCAGCGGCGGACGGGUGAGUAAUGCCUAGGAAUCUGCCUGGUAGUGGGGGAUAACGUCCGCAAACGGGCGCUACUACCGCAUACGUCCUGCGGGAGCAAGUGGGGGAUCUUCGGACCUCACGCUCUCAGAUGAGCCUAGGCCGGAUUAGCUAGUUGGUGGGGUAAAGGCCUACCAAGGCGACGAUCCGUAACUGGUCUGAGAGGAUGAUCAGUCACAUUGGAACUGAGACACGGACCAGACUCCUACGGGAGGGAGCAGUGGGGAAUAGGGGACAAUGGGCGAAAGCCUGAUCCAGCGAUGCCGCGUGUGUGAAGGAGGUCUUCGGAUUGUAAAGCACGUUAAGUUGGGAGGAAGGGCAGUAAGUUAAUACCUAGCUGUAGUGACGGUACCAGCAGAAGAAGCACCGGCUAACUACGUG